rnacentral:rRNA from 1 species
GAUGAACGCUGGCGGCGUGCUUAACACAUGCAAGUCGAACGGUGAACGAGGGAGCUUGCUCCCUCCGGAUCAGUGGCGAACGGGUGAGUAACACGUGAGCAAUCUGCCCCGAACUCUGGGAUAAGCGCUGGAAACGGCGUCUAAUACCGGACACGACGCGCGAAGGCAUCUUCUGCGCGUGGAAAGAAUUUCGGAUCGGGAUGAGCUCGCGGCCUAUCAGCUAGUUGGGGAGGUAACGGCUCACCAAGGCGACGACGGGUAGCCGGCCUGAGAGGGUGACCGGCCACACUGGGACUGAGACACGGCCCAGACUCCUACGGUAGGCAGCAGUGGGGAAUAUUGCACAAUGGGCGCAAGCCUGAUGCAGCGACGCCGCGUGAGGGACGACGGCCUUCGGGUUGUAAACCUCUUUUAGUAGGGAAGAAGCGAAAGUGACGGUACCUGCAGAAAAAGCACCGGCUAACUACGUGCCAGCCGCCGCCGUAACAC